AGAGUUUGAUCCUGGCUCAGAUUGAACGCUGGCGGCAUGCCUUACACAUGCAAGUCGAACGGCAGCGCGGGGCAACCUGGCGGCGAGUGGCGAACGGGUGAGUAAUAUAUCGGAACGUACCCUGGAGUGGGGGAUAACGUAGCGAAAGUUACGCUAAUACCGCAUACGAUCUAAGGAUGAAAGUGGGGGAUCGCAAGACCUCAUGCUCCUGGAGCGGCCGAUAUCUGAUUAGCUAGUUGGCGGGGUAAAAGCCCACCAAGGCAACGAUCAGUAGCUGGUCCGAGAGGACGACCAGCCACACUGGAACUGAGACACGGUCCAGACUCCUACGGGAGGCAGCAGUGGGGAAUUUUGGACAAUGGGCGCAAGCCUGAUCCAGCAAUGCCGCGUGAGUGAAGAAGGCCUUCGGGUUGUAAAGCUC
rnacentral:rRNA from 1 species